GCCAGUGUGGUGUAGUGGUUUUAGUGUUUGACUAUAACUCUUGAGACAAGGGUUCAGUUCCCUGCAUGGCCA